UGUCCGUUGAGUCACGCCUUCAAAGAGACAAUAGUUCACACGAGCACAAAAAACAGAUCCACACGUGAGAAAGGGAGGCUGUGCACGAGGAUAUCAGACCACCAAGUUUGAUGUGGAGAUGAUUCUGCCACUAGAGGGUGCUACUGCUGCUGUUGAAUCAGCCCGCCAUUUUGACCCGGGAGCAGAAAUACACUGUAGACAGGAUGGUUGAGGCUCAUCGCCAGUUUAGGGAGCAAGACAGCAGCAGUUACAGGGUCUCUGAAUGGCAGUGUGCUCUGGAGGGGGCGGGGCUGCCUGAUGUUAUAUCCCCACACCUAAACAGACUGCUGCAG